UACGUAGGGGGCUAGCGUUGUCCGGAAUCAUUGGGCGUAAAGAGCGUGUAGGCGGUCCGGUAAGUCCGCUGUGAAAGUCGGGGGCUCAACCCGUCGAAUGCCGGUGGAUACUGUCGGGCUAGGAGUGCGGAAGAGGCGGAGUGGAAUUCCUGGGUGUAGCGGUGAAAUGACGUAGAUAUCAGUCGGAACACCGGUGGCGAAGGCGGCUUCUUGGGCCCUAACUGACGCUGAUGCGCGAAAGCCAGGGGAGCGAACGGG
rnacentral:rRNA from 1 species